rnacentral:siRNA from 1 species
UAGAGCUAAAAUUCCCGGUGUUGU